GAUGAAGAACGUAGCAAAAUGCGAUACUUGGUGUGAAUUGCAGAAUCCCGUGAACCAUCGAGUUUUUGAACGCAAGUUGCGCCCGAAGCCUUUUGGUCGAGGGCACGUCUGCCUGGGCGUCACGCAUCGCGUCGCCCCCCACAACUCUCCGUAAAGGGAACUUGUGUUUUGGGGGCGGAUAUUGGUCUCCCGUGCUCAUGGCGUGGUUGGCCGAAAUAGGAGUCCCUCCGGUGGACGCACGAGCUAGUGGUGGUCGUAAAAACCCUCGUCUUUUGUUUCGUGCCGUUAGUCGCGAGGGAAACUCUUUAAAAACCCAAAUGUGUCGUCUCCUGACGGCGCUUCGACCGCGACCCCAGGUCAGGCGGGACUACCCGCUGAGUUUAAGCAUAUCAAUAAGCGGAGGA
rnacentral:misc_RNA from 1 species